UAUUGUUUUCGAACGCAAUUC
rnacentral:piRNA from 1 species